UACCAGACUCCUACGGGAGGCAGCAGUGGGGAAUAUUGCACAAUGGGGGAAACCCUGAUGCAGCGACGCCGCGUGAGUGAAGAAGUAUUUCGGUAUGUAAAGCUCUAUCAGCAGGGAAGAAAAUGACGGUACCUGACUAAGAAGCCCCGGCUAACUACGUGCCAGCAGCCGCGGUAAUACGUAGGGGGCAAGCGUUAUCCGGAUUUACUGGGUGUAAAGGGAGCGUAGACGGCGUGGCAAGUCAGAUGUGAAAGCCCGGGGCUCAACCCCGGGACUGCAUUUGAAACUGUCAGGCUGGAGUGCAGGAGAGGUAAGUGGAAUUCCUAGUGUAGCGGUGAAAUGCGUAGAUAUUAGGAGGAACACCAGUGGCGAAGGCGGCCUGCUGGACAUUAACUGACGCUGAGGCGCGAAAGCGUGGGGAGCAAACAGGAUUAGAUACCCCCGUAAAU
rnacentral:rRNA from 1 species